rnacentral:rRNA from 1 species
CCUACGGGUGGCAGCAGUGGGGAAUAUUGGACAAUGGGGGGAACCCUGAUCCAGCCAUGCCGCGUGUGUGAAGAAGGCCCUCGGGUUGUAAAGCACUUUCAGUGAGGAAGAACGCCUGGUGGUUAAUACCCAUCAGGAAAGACAUCACUCACAGAAGAAGCACCGGCUAACUCCGUGCCAGCAGCCGCGGUAAUACGGAGGGUGCGAGCGUUAAUCGGAAUUACUGGGCGUAAAGCGCGCGUAGGUGGCUUGAUAAGCCGGUUGUGAAAGCCCCGGGCUCAACCUGGGAACGGCAUCCGGAACUGUCAAGCUAGAGUGCAGGAGAGGAAGGUAGAAUUCCCGGGGGAGCGGUGAAAUGCGUAGAGAUCGGGAGGAAUACCAGUGGCGAAGGCGGCCUUCUGGACUGACACUGACACUGAGGUGCGAAAGCGUGGGUAGCAAACAGGAUUAGAUACCCGGGUAGUCC